UACGGGGGGGGGUAAGCGUUGUUCGGAAUUACUGGGCGUAAAGGGCUCGUAGGCGGCCAACUAAGUCAGACGUGAAAUCCCUCAGCUUAACUGGGGGAACUGCGUCUGAUACUGGAUGGCUUGGAUCCGGAAGAGGGAUGCGGAAUUCCAGGUGUAGCGGUGAAAUGCGUAGAUAUCUGGAGGAACACCGGUGGCGAAGGCGGCAUCCUGGGCCGGUACUGACGCUGAGACGCGAAAGCGUGGGGGAGCGAACAGG
rnacentral:rRNA from 1 species